CACACUCACUCCCAUACACUCACUGUUGCUCCCAGCCCUCCACGGAGCCCCCACCAGGCCCCAGCCUCAAACACACAGGCUGCUAUCAACGGCGUAACUGACACUGCCCCCUACUGCCAGGGUGCCGGGACCAGCUGGGACCUCAGAAAUAGGAAGACCCAGACCCCAGGCUCGAGGCUUGCUCCUGCAGUCCACAAGCUGCACAGGCAGGUCGGGCUCUUCUACGUAUCAUGAGCCUGGCUUGUCAAGACUGCAGUACUAGGAAGACGUUUCUGGGAGGAACACUAUUACUCAGGGGCAGUCAGACCUAGAGACAUGCGGAAAAGGAGUGACUGGGCAGGGGACACACCGGGGAUCAGCAAAGACUGUCAGUUCCAAGAGGUCCACGCCCGAGGUUUGGAGCCGAUUUUCUCGCUUUCAGCUCAGCUUUGUCAAUAUUGCUCCAGCGUUGUCUCCUGGUAUCUGGAAGGUGGCUCCGUUUCACUUAGACAUUAAGUGGCAGGCAGGGUGGCUGUCCUGUGAUCUUUGAAAACCUACUCACCCUCUCCUCUCAGAGCUGUGGGUUCUUCCAUUGUCAAAUGAGGGAAAGAAUACAGAUUCUGCAGGGUCCUGAGAAUGAAAUGAAGUAAUGUCUGGAAGAGGCCUGGCAUGUUGAAGGCACUCAGUGAAUGGUAGGGAUUUUUAUUACAAGAGACAGAGGGACCUCUUUUAGAGAAUCUGCUUUUGUUUCCUAAUCCUUGUCCAUCCCUCUGGGAUGUCUACGGACAUCAGACUUCCCUCUCUGUUCUCAAGGGCAAGAAUGUCUAAGUCCUUUGGGAAAUAUAGUUCUGGGAUAGUUUUUCCCGUUGUCAGCAGGCUCUGGAAGAGGCAUUAGCCCCACAAAGCUUGAUGUGGGAAGUUUUACAGGUACCGCUCAUCUGGCUGGCAGAUGUAGCUUUGCUGCAAGAUAUAGUUCUGUCUUCCAGAUGGGAGGGUGCCUGGAAGUCCUGAGGUGGACUGGUUUCUCUCUGCUUGGAGCCAGUGUGGGACCUACUCAUGGGUCUGUCACCUCCUUCCUAAACCCUGGAGACUCUGAGCCAACGUAGGUCGAGCUGAUUGUAUCUGUGUCCCCUCAAACCUACAUUCUGGCAAUCAGCUGACCAUCCCUCCACCGUCUCCCCACCCCCACUA